UUAGAGUUUGAUCCUGGCUCAGGAUGAACGCUAGCGGCAGGCCUAACACAUGCAAGUCGAACGGUAACAGGAAUUAGCUUGCUAAUUUGCUGACGAGUGGCGCACGGGUGCGUAACGCGUAUACAAUCUACCUUUUGCUGAGGGAUAGCCCAGAGAAAUUUGGAUUAAUACCUCAUGGUAUUAUUGAUAGGCAUCUGUUAAUAAUUAAAGGUUACGGCAAAAGAUGAGUAUGCGUCCCAUUAACUAGUUGGCGAGGUAACGGCUCAACAAGGCAACGAUGGGUAGGGGUCCUGAGAGGGAGAUCCCCCACACUGGUACUGAGACACGGACCAGACUCCUACGGGAGGCAGCAGUGAGGAAUAUUGGACAAUGGGCGAGAGCCUGAUCCAGCCAUGCCGCGUGCAGGAAGACUGCCCUAUGGGUUGUAAACUGCUUUUAUACAGGAAGAAUAAGCCUUACGUGUAACGUGAUGACGGAACUGUGAGAAUAACGACCGGCUAACUCCGUGCCAGCAGCCGCGGUGAUACCGAGGGUCCGAGCGUUAUCCGGAAUUAUUGGGUUUAAAGGGUCCGUAGGCAGAUGAUUAAGUCAUGUGUGAAAGUCUGCAGCUACACUGAUAUAUUGCCUUUGAUACUGGUUAUCUAUGAGUUGUAUAUGAGUAGGCGGAAUAUGUAGUGAAACGGUGAAUGCAUAGAUAUUACAUACAACAGCACUUGCCGAACGCAAACUACUAAGUACUAACUGACGCUGAUGGACAAAAGCCUGGG
rnacentral:rRNA from 1 species